rnacentral:rRNA from 1 species
UGGGGAAUAUUGCACAAUGGGCGCAAGCCUGAUGCAGCGACGCCGCGUGGGGGAUGAAGGCCUUCGGGUUGUAAACUCCUUUCGCUAGGGACGAAGCCUAUGGUGACGGUACCUGGAGAAGAAGCACCGGCUAACUACGUGCCAGCAGCCGCGGUAAUACGUAGGGUGUGAGCGUUGUCCGGAAUUACUGGGCGUAAAGAGCUCGUAGGUGGUUUGUCGCGUCGUCUGUGAAAUCCCGGGGCUUAACUUCGGGCGUGCAGGCGAUACGAGCAUAACUUGAGUGCUGUAGGAGGGACUGGAAUUCCUGGUGUAGCGGUGAAAUGCGCAGAUAUCAGGAGGAACACCAAUGGCGAAGGAAGGUCUCUGGGCAGUAACUGACGCUGAGGAGCGAAAGCAUGGGUAGCGAACAGG